UACGUAGGAGGCAAGCGUUGUCCGGAAUUACUGGGCGUAAAGCGCGUGUAGGCGGUCUGAAUAGUCUGCUGUGAAAGCGCCUGGCUUAACCGGGCGAGGUCGGCGGAAACUCUCAGACUGGAGGCCGGUAGAGGGGGGUGGAAUUCCCGGUGUAGUGGUGAAAUGCGUAGAUAUUGGGAGGAACACCAGUGGCGAAGGCGGCUCACUGGACCGGUACUGACGCUGAUGCGCGAAAGCGUGGGGAGCAAACGGG
rnacentral:rRNA from 1 species